AAAUUUUUUAUAAUUUUUAUGAAGACAACUUUUACUGAAUUAGUGUAGUUGUUGGUCAAAAAUAGUAAUCUUUCUGCUGUACUGUAAGAGUACAAAUUUUAAUGUUAGGGCCUUGAACCAUGUGUUGUUAUAGGUAGUAGUGACGAGAUAACAAGUCUUAAGCAGUGGGAUUUGAGGAUCUUGUCCUCAACAAGAAAAUUUAUUGAGGUGCUUGGAGUAGCAAGAAGGUGUUCUUAACAACUGAGGUAAAGGCAAAACUAUAUAGUGAGGGUGGCGAGCUCGAGGCGUGGAUUACAUGUUAGGGGAUUGUCACGAUGUUUUGGUUUAAAAAUAUUUCAUUUAAGAUUAUGAUUCAAAUAGUUUUUGUAAAGCUUUAUAUUUUAAGGUUAUGAAUAAAUAAAUGUUUUGUUUUAAAAAUAAUGAGAUCUCAUGCUUAGUUAUUUUU